rnacentral:rRNA from 1 species
GAUGAACGCUAGCUACAGGCUUAACACAUGCAAGUCGAGGGGAAACGGCAUUGAGUGCUUGCACUCUUUGGACGUCGACCGGCGCACGGGUGAGUAACGCGUAUCCAACCUUCCCAUUACUGUGGGAUAACCUGCCGAAAGGCAGACUAAUACCGCAUAGUCUUCGAUGACGGCAUCAGAUUUGAAGUAAAGAUUUAUCGGUAAUGGAUGGGGAUGCGUCUGAUUAGCUUGUUGGCGGGGUAACGGCCCACCAAGGCAACGAUCAGUAGGGGUUCUGAGAGGAAGGUCCCCCACAUUGGAACUGAGACACGGUCCAAACUCUUACGGGAGGCAGCAGUGAGGAAUAUUGGUCAAUGGACGGAAGUCUGAACCAGCCAAGUAGCGUGCAGGAUGACGGCCCUAUGGGUUGUAAACUGCUUUUGUAUGGGGAUAAAGUUAGGGACG